rnacentral:rRNA from 1 species
AGUGAACGCUGGCGGUAGGCCUAACACAUGCAAGUCGAACGGCAGCACAGUAAGAGCUUGCUCUUACGGGUGGCGAGUGGCGGACGGGUGAGGAAUACAUCGGAAUCUACUUUUUCGCGGGGGAUAACGUAGGGAAACUUACGCUAAUACCGCAUACGACCUACGGGUGAAAGCAGGGGAUCUUCGGACCUUGCGCGAUUGAAUGAGCCGAUGUCGGAUUAGCUAGUUGGCGGGGUAAAGGCCCACCAAGGCGACGAUCCGUAGCUGGUCUGAGAGGAUGAUCAGCCACACUGGAACUGAGACACGGUCCAGACUCCUACGGGAGGCAGCAGUGGGGAAUAUUGGACAAUGGGCGCAAGCCUGAUCCAGCCAUACCGCGUGGGUGAAGAAGGCCUUCAGGUUGUAAAGCCCUUUUGUUGGGAAAGAAAAGCAGCAGGUUAAUACCCCGCUGUUCUGACGGUACCCAAAGAAUAAGCACCGGCUAACUUCGUG